GGGGUUGUAGUUAAUUAUAACAUUUAAUUUGCAAUUAGAAAGUACGCAUAGUCAUCCUCA
rnacentral:tRNA from 1 species